ensembl:lncRNA
UGAAAAGUCAUGUGAGAAACUGCACUUUACACUAUACUGAACUGAAGAAAGACAACAUUCACAUCCGACAACGGGGGAGAUGGACAUGAAACAUCUAACUUGUUAAUUUAAUUUAAAACGGUUUGUUGUAUAAGGAGAUAUACAGAACAAACUACACAGUAAGUCAUAAUGAUAUUGUGAUGAGGAUCAUUGUAUUAUAAUAUUAUUUUUCCCAGAAGACUAUUACUUAUUCACACAAUGCGUUUCAAUGAAGGACUAUGCCAAGAGAAACUAUAUCAAAUACUUGUUUGAUUGGUUAAUUGAUUUAUUGAUUGCUUUAUUAUUUGUUGAAUAUAAAAACAUGUUACUUGACAUGGGUCCAUAUAUGAUGAGGUAUUUGUGGCAUUCUGAGAAACAUUGUCCUUAUUGUGUGUGUGUGUGUGUGUGUGUGUGUGUGUAGAGCUGUGGGAAUGGGAAGAAUUCUGGGGUCUCUGCUGACAGCAGCUCUGCUGAUUGGCUCAGCCCUCUGUAUGGGUGUGGUCAGUCUAACCCUAAGCCACACCUCUAGGGUCAGAGUUCACAAAGGGAGGAGCCUCACACUGACCUGCAUGAACACAACACAUGCAGGUGAGAUAAAACACACACACAAAAGACUACCUUUGUGGAAUGCCACGUACCCCUGUUAUACUGGUGUGUGUGUGUAGGAGUGGUCCAGUACUGGCACACCCCUUUCGGUCGGGUCCAGAACAGCAGUCUUCAUGCCAACCAGAAGGAUGUGAUUUCUAUGGAACGAGAUGGUAGCCUGCGGAUCCACAUUGCUUCUCCUCACCACAGCGGGCUGUAUUACUGCCUCCUCCUGGCCGGAGGACAAACUACACUCACACCCUACCUGCUGACUGCCAGCAGUUCACAGGACCAUGCUGUCGAACACAGGCGGGCGGUCAGGAGUAUUCUGGGUGGUCAUGCAGAGGAGAGGAAUGUUGCCGUGGUUUCUGACGGUGUGUUUGCGGCAGCGGUGGCAGCAUCAGUAGUGGUGACGUUCCUGGUGGGGUUCAGCUCUGGAGCUUUGAGCAGGACAUUACUGGACAGGUGUGUGAAUUGGGUGCGUUCGCUAGGACAGGAACAUUGUAACCAUGGUGAAACAGUCAGCGUGGCAUUCCGGAAGGAUGUGGAACAAGAGGAUGAGUAUUACCCUGCCUCGAUGACAAGCGUUACCAUGGAGAAUGUAAGCCCAUCUCCACCAGCCAAACCUCAGAGAAGCUUCAGGGGCAAACAUCAUGAAGAGACUGCUUACCUGGAGGGCUGCUACCAGGGGAGAGGAGAGGAAGGGAGGGAGAGGGGAGGAGAAGAGGAGAGGGGAGGAGAGGAAGGGAGGGAGAGGGGAGGAGAAGAGGAGAGGGGAGGAGAGGAAGGGAGGGAGAGGGGAGGAGAGGAAGGGAGGGAGGUGGGAGGCAGCACAGAUGGAAAAGAGAAGAGCAGGAGAGUGGGGGAGGAAGAAAGGAGUGACAGUGAGGAAGGGAGAGAGGGAAAGGAGGGGAGGAAGGAAAGUGACAGGGAGGAAGAAAGAAGAGAGAGUGAGGAAGGGAGGACAGAGUGUAAGGAGACAGAGAGUGAUGGAAAGAUUGAAGAGGGAGGAUUUAGAGGUGAUAGUAGCAGUGAUUCAGAAGAAGGGUCUGUUGGGGUGAGAGAGGGGGGAGUGGAGAGGCAGGGGGAGGGAUCAGCGGGAGAAGAGAGGUGUUCUCCUCCCCGGCCCGCCAGACAGAGCCGUGUGAUUCGUCUGUACCAGUACGAUGAGGAGGGGCAUCGCUAUAGUCACCUGCCAAACCCCGUCCCCAUGGAACGUACUUCCCCUGCUCCCCAGGCCAAGCAGCGCUCGCUGUCCCUUACCAGGCUCAACACCAUCAUGGCUGCUGCCACCGCCAGCCCCAUGGACCCACAGAACCCCCUGGGCCGAGACUCAGACCCCCAGGACUCAGACCCUGAGGAGAGGGACACAGCCAGUCCAGCCAGCCCAUCCCAGGGCCAGGAGAGACCAGUCUUUCAACUGGAGAUAUGACAUACAAUAUCUAGGCCUGUAUUCAUAAAGUGUCUUAGAGUACAGCUGCUGAUAAAUGAUCCAGUCCUAACCUGUCCAUAUAAUCUUAAUCAUUAUGAUAUAAAAGGCAAAACUGGUUCAAGAUCAGCCCUCCUAAACUUGAUAGAUGCAGCCCGAGCAGAAAGAUCUGGGUCAUGUUCAGUGACAGAGACAAUGUACCAAAAUGGUUUGAAACAGAAAACAAAAAUGUGUUUCCUACUGGAUAACUUUAACAGUUAGUGCCUCGCCAUUUCACUCCAUUGUGAAACAUUUUCUCAAUCACAAAUUCUCACACACAAAUUCCCAGACACACUUAAGAUUUUGACUUGUCAUCACAUCCAGCAGAUUCCAUGAUUGUUUUGUAAAAGCAAUUGGAAAUAAAACAUUACAAGUAAAUGUUCACUUUGGAUGAUUGUGUUGCUGACCUGUUGCAGCCUCUACAACCACUGUGAUUAUUAUUAUCUGGAUGAUUGUGUUGCUGACCUGUUGCAGCCUCUACAACC